rnacentral:rRNA from 1 species
GAUGAACGCUGGCGGCGUGCCUAAUACAUGCAAGUCGAGCGAACGGACGAGAAGCUUGCUUCUCUGAUGUUAGCGGCGGACGGGUGAGUAACACGUGGAUAACCUACCUAUAAGACUGGGAUAACUUCGGGAAACCAGAGCUAAUACCGGAUAAUAUUUUGAACCGCAUGGUUCAAAAGUGAAAGACGGUCUUGCUGUCACUUAUAGAUGGAUCCGCGCUGCAUUAGCUAGUUGGUAAGGUAACGGCUUACCAAGGCAACGAUGCAUAGCCGACCUGAGAGGGUGAUCGGCCACACUGGAACUGAGACACGGUCCAGACUCCUACGGGGGGCAGCAGUAGGGAAUCUUCCGCAAUGGGCGAAAGCCUGACGGAGCAACGCCGCGUGAGUGAUGAAGGUCUUCGGAUCGUAAAACUCUGUUAUUAGGGAAGAACAUAUGUGUAAGUAACUGUGCACAUCUUGACGGUACCUAAUCAGAAAGCCACGGCUAACUACGUG